CCUACGGGAGGCAGCAGUGGGGAAUAUUGCACAAUGGGGGCAACCCUGAUGCAGCGACGCCGCGUGCGUGAAGACGUAAUUCGUUAUGUAAAGCUCUAUCAGCAGGGAAGAAAAUGACGGUACCUGAGUAAGAAGCCCCGGCUAACUACGUGCAAGCAGCCGCGGUAAUACGUAGGGGGCAAGCGUUAUCCGGAUUUACUGGGUGUAAAGGGAGCGUAGACGGGAGUGCAAGUCUGGAGUGAAAGGCGGGGGCUCAACCCCCGGACUGCUGUUGAAACUGUACGGCUGGAGUGCAGGAGAGGUAAGUGGAAUUCCUAGUGUAGCGGUGAAAUGCUUAGAUAUUAGGAGGAACACC
rnacentral:rRNA from 1 species